GACGAACGCUGGCGGCGUGCUUAACACAUGCCAGUCGAACGGAAAGGUCCUGCUUUUGUGGGGUGCUCGAGUGGCGAACGGGUGAGUAACACGUGAGUAACCUGCCCUUGACUUUGGGAUAACUUCAGGAAACUGGGGCUAAUACCGGAUAGGAGCUCCUGCUGCAUGGUGGGGGUUGGAAAGUUUCGGCGGUUGGGGAUGGACUCGCGGCUUAUCAGCUUGUUGGUGGGGUAGUGGCUUACCAAGGCUUUGACGGGUAGCCGGCCUGAGAGGGUGACCGGCCACAUUGGGACUGAGAUACGGCCCAGACUCCUACGGGAGGCAGCAGUGGGGAAUAUUGCACAAUGGGCGGAAGCCUGAUGCAGCAACGCCGCGUGCGGGAUGACGGCCUUCGGGUUGUAAACCGCUUUCGCCUGUGACGAAGCGUGAGUGACGGUAAUGGGUAAAGAAGCACCGGCUAACUACGUG
rnacentral:rRNA from 1 species